UACGAGGUCCCAAGCGUUGUUCGGAUUCACUGGGCGUAAAGGGUGCGUAGGUGGCUGGGUAAGUCGGAUGUGAAAGCUCGGAGCUCAACUCCGAAAUGGCAUUGGAAACUACUCAGCUCGAGGGUUGGAGGGGGGACUGGAAUACUUGGUGUAGCAGUGAAAUGCGUAGAUAUCAAGUGGAACACCAGUGGCGAAGGCGAGUCCCUGGACAACUCCUGACACUGAGGCACGAAAGCUAGGGGAGC
rnacentral:rRNA from 1 species